GAAAUGCGAUAAGUAGUGUGAAUUGCAGAAUUCAGUGAAUCAUCGAAUCUUUGAACGCACAUUGCGCCCCUUGGUAUUCCAUGGGGCAUGCCUGUUCGAGCGUCAUUUGUACCCUCAGGCUCUGCUUGGUGUUGGGUGUUUGUCCCGUCUCCGCGCGUGGACUCGCCCCAAAGUGAUUGGCAGCCGGCGUACUGGUCCCGGAGCGCAGCACAUGUCGCGCAAACGAGUGCCUUGGUACGGCGGCGUCCAUAAGCCCCUCUCUCACGCUCUUGACCUCGGAUCAGGUAGGGAUACCCGCUGAACUUAAGC
rnacentral:misc_RNA from 1 species